rfam:Treponema pedis str. T A4, complete genome.
AAAACACUGCCCGAGUUUGCUUGAAAAAUAGUUUUGCAAACUCGCAUUAUUAUAUGUGCUUUUUCACUUACGUUGCAAAAGCACAAAAAUUCUGCAAUCCUCGACUUUUGAUAAAGUCUGCGGUUGCGGAAUUUAUAG